GUGAGUGACCUGCCUUUUAGACUGGAACAACUUACCGAAAGGUGAGCUAAUGCCGGAUGAGUUAUAUAAGUGCAUGUUUAUAUAGGAAAAGUUGGGGAGACCUGACGCUGAAAGAUGGACUCGCGUCCCAUUAGCUAGUUGGUAGGGUAAUGGCCUACCAAGGCGACGAUGGGUAGCCGGCCUGAGAGGGUGGCCGGCCACACUGGGACUGAGACACGGCCCAGACUCCUACGGGAGGCAGCAGUGGGGAAUUUUGCGCAAUGCUCGUAAGAGUGACGCAGCGACGCCGCGUGAAUGACGAAGGCCUUCGGGUCGUAAAGUUCUUUCGACAGGGAAGAAAAUGCCUAUAAGUAACUGUGUAUGUAUUGACGGUACCUGUAUAAGCAGCCCCGGCUAACUCCGUGCCAGCAGCCGCGGUAAUACGGAGGGGGCGAGCGUUGUUCGGAGUGACUGGGCGUAAAGAGCACGUAGGCGGUGUUGUAAGUCAUUAGUCAAAGACUAGAGCUCAACUUUAGUAAGGCUAGUGAUACUAUAAUACUAGAGUAUCAGAGAGGAUUGCAGAAUUCCUGGUGUAGCGGUGAAAUGCGUAGAUAUCAGGAGGAAUACCGUUAGCGAAGGCGGCAAUCUGGCUGGAAACUGACGCUGAGGUGCGAAAGCGUGGGUAGCAAACAGGAUUAGAUACCCUGGUAGUCCACGCUGU
rnacentral:rRNA from 1 species